rnacentral:rRNA from 1 species
GGCGAACGCUGGCGGCGUGCCUAAUACAUGCAAGUAGAACGCACAGUUUAUACCGUAGCUUGCUACACCAUAGACUGUGAGUUGCGAACGGGUGAGUAACGCGUAGGUAACCUGCCUGGUAGCGGGGGAUAACUAUUGGAAACGAUAGCUAAUACCGCAUAAUAUUAAUUAUUGCAUGAUAAUUAAUUGAAAGGUGCAAUUGCACCACUACCAGAUGGACCUGCGUUGUAUUAGCUAGUAGGUGAGGUAACGGCUCACCUAGGCGACGAUACAUAGCCGACCUGGGAGGGUGAUCGGCCACACUGGGACUGAGACACGGCCCAGACUCCUAAGGGAGGCAGCAGUAGGGGAUCUUCGGCAAUGGACGAAAGGCUGACCGAGCAACGCCGCGGGAGUGAAGAAGGUUGUCGGAUCGUAAAGCUCUGUUGUAAGAGAAGAACGGGUGUGAGAGUGGAAAGUUCACACUGUGACGGUAUCUUACCAGAAAGGGACGGCUAACUACGUG